CGACCUCGCCGCCGCGGGACGGUGCCGGUCACCGCGGCUGCAGUCGGGGACGCAGAGCUGGGGGGUUCUAAGUGCUGUUUGGGGUUCCUGGUUCGCGCGAUUUCUGCCAGGCGCUUAUUUACGGUAGAAAACAGGAGUCGAGAAAAAUGAGUGUUUCUCCUUAGAGUAAUUCCGGUGAUGGUGUGAGAGUACAGGAUUUGAAAGAUGGAAGACAAAGACCAAUUAAGGAGAAAGAACUGUCUUUAGCUGAAGAACUGCCAUAAGAUCUUUCUUGAACCACGAAGACUGUUAAAAAGCAGUUGUGAGGGGAAGACAGGCAAAGGCAGGUGCUGUACCCCCGUCCCACUGUUUGAAGCCUGGAAGACUUGAACAAGGCCAUGAGACAAGAGCCAAGGAACAGAGAUUCAAGAUGUAGGAGAGAAGAGGGCUGUUAUCCCUUUGAACAUCGAGCUUGACUUGGAUUCCAGAUUUUCUAGUUCAUCCAGAAGCCUCUCCAAUUGCAGCCAACAGCUCAGGGCCUGACAGAACUUCAUAUCUAAAGCCCUGAAUUUACUGUGAGGUCUAUCUGUGCAUUUCCUCAUAAAAUCUAGUCUAAGCAAGGAACCCUGCGAAGUCAAGACCCCUGCGGCCAUAUCUGAUCACCCUGUCAAGUUCGUCAUCUUCUACUAUCACCUCUUGGCCUGUCUCAGCAAGAACCCUGUAAGGUCCAUUUAGCCAGAAUCCCCUACACCCCAUUCUUCCUCAUAGUAAUUUUCCCACCCAUGGAUUCCCCAAGUCACUCCUCAGCUACAAAUACUCACUUGUUCAUGUUGUAUUCCCCACCCCACGCCCGCCAUACUGGGAAUGAAAUUCAGAACCUUGCACUUGCGAGGCAGACGCAGUGCCACUGAGCUAAAUCCCCCUCCCUCCACAUUGUAUUUAGAAUUGAGCCCAAUUCCCUCUCUCACCCUAAGACCCUGCAGUGGUCCCCAAACCUAUCUUUGCGGUCCCAAAUAAAGUCUGCCUUAC